AGAGUUUGAUCCUGGCUCAGGAUGAACGCUGGCGGCGUGCCUAAUACAUGCAAGUCGAACGGGAGUAGCAAUACUCUAGUGGCGACCGGGUGCGUAACACGUAGCUGACCUGCCCCUCAGCGGGGGACAACUACUCGAAAGGGUAGCUAAUACCGCAUGAUGUUGAAGAGACUAAAGAUUUUCAACUAAACUUCAGGGGUUGAGGGAGGGGGCUGCGGCCCAUCAGGUAGUUGGUGCGGUAAGAGCGCACCAAGCCAACGACGGGUAGGGGGCCUGAGAGGGUGGCCCCCCACACUGGAACUGACACACGGUCCAGACUCCUACGGGAGGCAGCAGUAAGGGAUAUUGCACAAUGGGCGCAAGCCUGAUGCAGCAACGCCGCGUGGAGGAUGAAGGCCUUCGGGUCGUAAACUCGUUUUGACGCUGACGAGCAAGGACGGUAGGCGUCGAAUAAGUCACGGCUAACUACGUGCCAGCAGCCGCGGUAAAACGUAGGUGGCGAGCGUUAUCCGGAUUUACUGGGCGUAAAGGGUGUGCAGGCGGGGACACAAGUGGUGUAUAAAAGCACCCAGCUAAACUGGGUAAGGUUAUGCCAGACUGUGUUUCUAGAGGACGAGAGAGGGGCGUGGAAUUCCGGGUGUAGUGGUGAAAUGCGUAGAGAUCCGGAGGAACCCCAGAGGCGAAGGCGGCGCCCUGGCUCGUACCUGACGCUGAUACACGAAAGCAUGGGUAGCGAACGGGAUUAGAAACCCCGGUAGUCCAUGCCGUAAACGAUGCUCACUAGGCGUCGUCGGUCUCAACCCCGACGGUGCCGCAGCUAACGCGAUAAGUGAGCCGCCUGGGGAGUACGGCCGCAAGGCUAAAACUCAAAGGAAUUGACGGGGGCCCGCACAAGCAGCGGAGCGUGUGGUUUAAUUCGAGGCUACACGAAGAACCUUACCUGGUCUUGACAUGCAUGUGAACGACGCUGAAAGGCGAAGGGCCGCAAGGCACAUGCACAGGUGCUGCAUGGCUGUCGUCAGCUCGUGCCGUGAGGUGUUAGGUUAAGUCCUGUAACGAGCGCAACCCCCGGAGCCAGUUAUACGUGUCUGGCUCGACUGCCCGUGACAAGCGGGAGGAAGGUGGGGACGACGUCAAGUCAGCAUGGCCUUUAUGACCAGGGCUACACACACGCUACAAUGGCCGGUACAAUGGGUCGCCAAGCAGCAAUGCGGAGCCAAUCCAGACAAAGCCGGUCACAGUUCGGAUUGUGGGCUGCAACCCGCCCACAUGAAGUUGGAGUUGCUAGUAACCGCGCGUCAGCCAUAUUGCGGUGAAUACGUUCCCGGGCCUUGUACACACCGCCCGUCACGUCAUGGGAGCUGGUCACGCCUGAAGCCAGUGGGCUAACCGCAAGGAGGCAACUGUCGAGGGCAGGGCCGGUGACUGGGACGAAGUCGUAACAAGGUA
rnacentral:rRNA from 1 species